UUUUUUAUUGGGUCAUUUGUAUUAUUUUAUCGUUGGCUGUCUGUUACUCUCAGUUUCAAACAUGUUUAGCGUUGUUGUUUUUUUGAUGACAUUUUUUGAGUUUGAGAUAUAUUGCCGUACCCUUAAAGCCUGGAUCUGGAACAAUAGCCUCACUGUCCCCUGGUAACCUGUUAAUAUCCGUAAAUGUAAUAGAAGAAAUUUAAGAUACUACAUCCUCUCUUCCGAGCCCCUAAUGUGUUUUAUUCGGGGCAGCACCAAAAAAAUAAAGAUUUAUUGGGAUGAAGCUAUAAUAAAAAUAACUGUAGUAAAAUAUAAUAAAACUUAUCUAGAA
rnacentral:lncRNA from 1 species